rnacentral:rRNA from 1 species
UUUGAAGGUAAAAAAUCGUAACAAGGUUUCCGUAGGUGAACCUGCGGAAGGAUCAUUACAGUAUUCUUUUUGCCAGCGCUUAAUUGCGCGGCGAAAAAACCUUACACACAGUGUUUUUUGUUAUUACAAGAACUCUUGCUUUGGUCUGGACUAGAAAUAGUUUGGGCCAGAGGUUUACUAAACUAAACUUCAAUAUUUAUAUUGAAUUGUUAUUUAUUUUAAUUGUCAAUUUGUUGAUUAAAUUCAAAAAAUCUUCAAAACUUUCAACAACGGAUCUCUUGGUUCUCGCAUCGAUGAAGAACGCAGCGAAAUGCGAUAAGUAAUAUGAAUUGCAGAUUUUCGUGAAUCAUCGAAUCUUUGAACGCACAUUGCGCCCUUUGGUAUUCCAAAGGGCAUGCCUGUUUGAGCGUCAUUUCUCUCUCAAACCUUCGGGUUUGGUAUUGAGUGAUACUCUUAGUCGAACUAGGCGUUUGCUUGAAAUGUAUUGGCAUGAGUGGUACUGGAUAGUGCUAUAUGACUUUCAAUGUAUUAGGUUUAUCCAACUCGUUGAAUAGUUUAAUGGUAUAUUUCUCGGUAUUCUAGGCUCGGCCUUACAAUAUAACAAACAAGUUUGACCUCAAAUCAGGUAGGACUACCCGCUGAACUUAAGCAUAUCAUAGCCGAAGGA